GUAACAGGGUUGGCUCCGCAGACCCGGUCUAGGGAAGCCCGCGCGCGUCGUCAGCAUCAGCGCCGCGGGGCGGGGGACGCACUGAACCUCCCCUGUCGGGGUCUGCAGACCCACUAGGCUGGCUAGUGGUCCCCUUCCUGGAUGUCUUAAGGGUGCUGAUCACCGUUGUCGAGCUACCCCUCCCCUGCGGGGACCCCGACGUCGCCGCCCCCUCCGACUCCCCAGCUGGUGUGCACCACUCUCAGUGCGGCCAGGUGGGCGACCCUCCGCUGCGGUUGCGGUGGUGGCCGAGAUCUUCCUCCGAGCCCAGGCGCGGGGCAUGAGGAGCCCCCAAGUAUCGCCUGCAGAUAACCCAGCCACGCGCACACCUCGCCAGCCGCUGACGGGGACAUGAGCAGUUCGGUCCAGCUCUGGUGCCCGGUGGCCAGCCUCAGCCGGCAGCGGCCAAUGGGUCCUUGCUGCCUGGGAGAAUGAGGCAGGAACCCGCGGCCACCUCUCUCUCCUCCUUCUCGCCUUCCUCUGGCUCCCGCGCCCCGGGCCCGGGCCAGGCUGUGGCUCUGCUGCGUGCCCUGCGCGCCCCCCACCUGCCUCCGGAUGCUCUUCUCGGUUAGUCUGGCGAGGAAGAUAAAGACAUUUGCAACCAAGAUGGUAAUCACGAGUGGAAAUGAUGAGGACCGGGGAGGCCAAGAGAAAGAGAGCAAAGAAGAGAGUGUUCUGGCCAUGCUGGGCAUCAUUGGGACCAUCCUGAACCUGAUCGUCAUCAUCUUUGUCUACAUAUAUACCACACUGUGAAUGGCCCCAGGCAGCCUCGGCUGCCUCAGGAUGGCCAUGAGACAAGGGUCCUGUGUGUCCACCUCUCGGUGACCAGACACUGCAGGGGGCCACACCUGCUCCAUCAAUGCACCUUCGAACUUUCUAACAGGUCGCCAAACGAACCCAUCCUGCUGUGAGGAGCAGACACUCUGAAGCACAAUGAAUCCAACGAAACUCAUUCAGGCCACAAGGAACUUCUCGUCCCUGGCAGGGGACCUGGCGGGAUGCUGGAAAGACCAGCCUUUGGCACGAGUGGUGAGCCGAGGGGUGAGGGAAUGAAUGCCUCACCCUGGAGUGCUGACCACAUCCCACACUGGAAAGGAGGAGGAGUGGGGCGGCCGCAGCUCACCUCCCAGGACCCGCUCUGGGGUGGUCCGUUCACAGGCAUCCCAUUCGUCAAAUGUUUCCAGCUGUUUGAUACGGAAGAUAACUUAUUUUUCAUUUUUCAUUGGCUUGAUGUGUGUAUCUGUUCAUAUCAAGGUUUAUAAAUAUAUAUUUUUAAUAAAUGUGCUCUAUUUUUUAGCAUGAACCAAAUAUUUGGAGAAGCACUUCCGGAUCCAUAGCUUUUCAUGGUUUUAAUCGCUUUGCUCCAUCAAGUGCAGCACACCAUUUCUGUAGCCGUCCUGGUGUCUCAGUUCAUCUCCUUUGCUCUCAUGCUCGCCUCCUCCCCAUCUCCACCUCCGCAUUCUCUCUUCUCCCGUUCCUUCCCACUCUCUCCUCUCCCU